AAGGUUUAGUUUACAACAUGCGGACGCUCAUGCCAUACAAAAAUCAAAAGAGCAUGAAACACAAUUUAGGCAUAACAACGCCACGUAUUCUCAAUGUUUCCACCCCAUAUGGUUCAUUCGUACUAAUUUUCUCUAUAUUUUCAAUUGAUACAAUAUUUAAACAUCUUUAAUUUACACAAAUAUGUCCUAUUACAUGGGCCUUCAGGAUUCGAGUAAUAUUUAAUAGUUAGAGUCGGAGGCAUUCGUAUUUCAUAGUCCGAAGUGAAAUUUUUUUAUUUAUGAAAAAAGAACAAGUGCAAAGCAUUUGCCAAGGAUGUUUUCAUUAUUCAAGAACGGAAGUGAGGGGCUCAAAGUUCAUCAUAUACCGUCCUAGUCUCAACCAUAAAUAGUGUUGACCAGGGAUCGACAUAUUUUGCUUUUAGGACUCUACCAGCACAUUAUGAGAAACCAUAGUUUUUGGGUU
rnacentral:ncRNA from 1 species